UACCUGCAGCUCGAGUGGUAACCGCUAUUAUUGGGCCUAAAGCGUCCGUAGCCGGUUUGGUAAAUAUCUGGGUAAAUCGUGAGGCUUAACUUCACGAAUUUCGGAUAGACUGCCAGACUUGGGAUCGGGGGAGGUCAGAGGUACUCCAGGGGUAGCGGUGAAAUGUUGUAAUCCUUGGAGGACCACCGGUAGCGAAGGCGUCUGACUUGAACGAGUCCGACGGUGAGGGACGAAGCCCUGGGGCGCAAACCGGAUUAGAUACCCGGGUAGUCCAGGGUGUAAACGAUGUGGGCUUUGUAUUGGAGGUCCCACGUGGGCGUCCAGUGCAGAAGAGAAGUUGUUAAGCCCACCGCCUGGGAAGUACGGUCGCAAGGCUGAAACUUAAAGGAAUUGGCGGGGGAGCACAGCAACGGGAGAGCGUGCGGUUU
rnacentral:rRNA from 1 species